rnacentral:rRNA from 1 species
UACGUAGGGGGCUAGCGUUAUCCGGAAUUACUGGGCGUAAAGGGUGCGUAGGUGGUUUCUUAAGUCAGAGGUGAAAGGCUACGGCUCAACCGUAGUAAGCCUUUGAAACUGGGGAACUUGAGUGCAGGAGAUGAGAGUGGAAUUCCUAGUGUAGCGGUGAAAUGCGUAGAUAUUAGGAGGAACACCAGUUGCGAAGGCGGCUCUCUGGACUGUAACUGACACUGAGGCACGAAAGCGUGGGGAGCAAACAGG